rnacentral:rRNA from 1 species
AGUGAACGCUGGCGGCAGGCCUAACACAUGCAAGUCGAACGGCAGCACAGUAAGAGCUUCCUCUUACGGUUGGCGAGUCGCGGACGGGUGAGACAUACAUCGGACCUUACUUUUUCAUGGGGACUAACGUAGGGAAACUCACCUUAAUACCCCAUACGACCUACGGGUGAAAGCAGGGGAUCUUCGGACCUUGCGCGACUGAUUGACCCGCUGUCGGAUUAGCAAGUUGGCGGGGUAAAGGCCCACCAAGGCGACGAUCCGUAGCUGGUCAGAGAGGAUGAUCGGCCACACUGGAACUGAGACACGGUCCGAACUCCUACGGGAGGCAGAAGUGGGGAAUAUUCGACAAUGGGGGCAAGCCUGAUCCGGCCAGCCCGGUGGGGUGAGGAAGGCCUCCGGGUUGUAAAGCCCGUUUGUUGGGAAAGAAAGGCAGCAGGUUAAUACCCCGAUGGACUGACGGUACCCAAAGAAUAAGCACCGGCUAACUUCGUG